rnacentral:rRNA from 1 species
CGGGGUGCACCAGGCGCGAAAACUUUACAAUGCUGGAAACAGCGAUAAGGGGACCUCGAGUGCCAGGUUACAAAUCUGGCCGUCGUGAUGCCUAAAAAGCAUUGCAUAGCAAGGGCCGGGCAAGACCGGUGCCAGCCGCCGCGGUAACACUGGCGGCUCGAGUGGUAACCGUUAUUAUUGGGUUUAAAGGGUCAGUAGCCGGCCGGAUAAGUCUCUUGGGAAAUCCAGCAGCUCAACUGUUGGGCUUUCCGGAGAUACCGUCUGGCUAGAGGCCGGGAGAGGUGAGAGGUACUUCAGGGGUAGGGGUGAAAUCUUGUAAUCCUUGAAGGACCACACAGUGGCGAAGGCGUCUCACCAGAACGGACCUGACGGCAAGGGACGAAAGCUAGGGGCACGAACCGGAUUAGAUACCCGGGUAGUCCUAGCCGUAAACGAUACUCGCUAGGUGUCGGCCACGGUGCGACCGUUGUCGGUGCCGUAGGGAAGCCGUGAAGCGAGCCGCCUGGGAAGUACGGCCGCAAGGCUGAAACUUAAAGGAAUCGGCGGGCGAGCACAAGGGCGAUUCGCG